GAAGCUGACCAGACAGUCGCCGCUUCGUCGUCGUCCUCUUCGGAGGAGACGGGCGGAGGGGAGGAAAGUCCGGGCUCCAUAGGGCAGGGUGCCAGGUAACACCUGGGGGGGAAACCCACGACCAGUGCAACAGAGAGCAAACCGCCGAUGGCCCACGUAAGUGGGAUCAGGUAAGGGUGAAAGGGUGCGGUAAGAGCGCACCGCGCGGCUGGUAACAGUCCGUGGCACGGUAAACUCCACCCGGAGCAAGGCCAAAUAGGGGUUCACAAGGUACGGCCCGUACUGAACCCGGGUAGGCUGCUUGAGCCAGUGAGUGAUUGCUGGCCUAGAUGAAUGACUGUCCACGACAGAACCCGGCUUAUCGGUCAGCUUCAACU
rnacentral:RNase_P_RNA from 1 species